UGGGACCUUAGGGCCAUGCGCCAUUUGAUGAACCCAUAUGGGAUUAGCUAGUAGGUGAGGUAAUGGCUCACCUAGGCGACGAUCUCUAGCUGGUCUGAGAGGAUGACCAGCCACACUGGGACUGAGACACGGCCCAGACUCCUACGGGAGGCAGCAGUGGGGAAUAUUGCACAAUGGGGGAAACCCUGAUGCAGCCAUGCCGCGUGUAUGAAGAAGGCCUUCGGGUUGUAAAGUACUUUCGGUAGCGAGGAAGGGGUUAUAUCUAAUAGGUGUAACCAUUGACGUUAACUACAGAAGAAGCACCGGCUAACUCCGUGCCAGCAGCCGCGGUAAUACGGAGGGUGCGAGCGUUAAUCGGAAUGACUGGGCGUAAAGGGCAUGUASGCGGAUAGUUAAGUUAGGUGUGAAAGCCCCGGGCUCAACCUGGGAAUUGCAUUUAAAACUGGUUAUCUGGAGUAUUGUAGA
rnacentral:rRNA from 1 species